rnacentral:rRNA from 1 species
UGGGGAAUAUUGCACAAUGGGGGAAACCCUGAUGCAGCAACGCCGCGUGAGUGAUGACGGUCUUCGGAUUGUAAAGCUCUGUCUUUGGGGACGAUAAUGACGGUACCCAAGGAGGAAGCCACGGCUAACUACGUGCCAGCAGCCGCGGUAAUACGUAGGUGGCAAGCGUUGUCCGGAUUUACUGGGCGUAAAGGGAGCGUAGGCGGAUUUUUAAGUGGGAUGUGAAAUACUCGGGCUCAACCUGAGUGCUGCAUUCCAAACUGGGAAUCUAGAGUGCAGGAGGGGAGAGUGGAAUUCCUAGUGUAGCGGUGAAAUGCGUAGAGAUUAGGAAGAACACCAGUGGCGAAGGCGACUCUCUGGACUGUAACUGACGCUGAGGCUCGAAAGCGUGGGGAGCAAACA